UCAAAUUUGUUAAAAAAAUCAUUAAAGAGGGUCAUAGCUAAUUCAACUUGCAGUCAAUUGGGCUAUAUGAUCUUUGCUUGCGGCAUCUCUAACUAUUCGGUUAGUGUCUUUCACUUAAUGAAUCAUGCGUUUUUCAAAGCAUUAUUCUUCCUGAGUGCGGGUUCGGUGAUUCAUGCCAUGUCUGGUGAGCAAGAUAUGUUGAAAGGGGGGUGGGGGGGCUUGCCUCCUCCUUUCCUUCUUUCCUUUGACAGUUUGACCUAUGCCAUGAUGCUCAUGGGCGUUGACUCUUUUUUAUAUAUUUUUUAA
rnacentral:rRNA from 1 species